AUCACCUGGGAUCUUGUUAAAAUGCAGAUACUGAUUCAGGAGGUCUGGGAUGAGCCCUGAAAGUUUGCAUUUCUAACAAGCUCCCAGGUGAUACUGA
rfam:Pan troglodytes isolate Yerkes chimp pedigree #C0471 (Clint) chromosome 2B, whole genome shotgun sequence.